AUCCAGCUGACUAAUCCCAAAAUAGGACGAAACGUGCGUCCUGUAU
rnacentral:hammerhead_ribozyme from 1 species